CGGAACGACGGCCCUGAGUGGGAUCGACGUGAUGAAGGAUGUCGCCGCGAAGAGCAAAGUCACUGCAGGGCCCAACGCCACGGACGUCUUCUAUUUCCUGGAAUCUUGAGUUGGAAUUCACGGAGCGCAGGACAUAAGUGGAAAAACCUCAUUCACAAUGGACAUGUGGAUGUCCAACUUCAGCGGCACUAUUUUGAAUGGAAUCGACAUAAACCAACUCUACACCACAACUGUUUUAAGCAAUGGGACUGAGAUAAUUAACUGUGACAUCAAGUUCAGCAGGAAUUUAAAGGUGAACAAAACCGUCGUGAAAUCUGAUCUAUCUGGUUUAGAUGAAGAUGGUAUUCUGAUCGAUAAUUUGAACGUGACGGAGGUGAGCGAAAAGGCUGUGUUGACGAGUGGAGGUCCUUAUCAUAUUUUCGGCAGAAAGACGUUUUCCAACUUAACUGCCUCGGCAUUGAGUGUAGAAGAUUCAAUAGGGAAUGUGCCAGUCGAAAAUUUUGUGGUUGUCUCCCGGCAUGACAGACCAAUAAGGAACCUUGUAUCUAAUGCAUCCAUCACCGUCACAGAUCUUCAGGUAAAUGGGCUUAUAGAUGGAGUGAAUUUGGAAAACUUGCUUGCAAGCCGGAUCACCAUCAGUGAAAAUGAAACCAUCUCAAGAUCACUGGCAUUUGAAACUGUGAAAGUAGAAGGUGACUUAACGGUGAACAAAAUCAACGAUAUUUAUCUUUCAAAUAUUGUGCUAAAAUCCGGAAGAGAACAGCAAGACAUCCUUGAUCGGAAAACUUUGAAUGGGGGUCUGGUUGUCAAUGGACGUAUUGGAGGCAGAGAGCUCAAUGGAAUCGACUUACCCGAACUAAAUCGACUGGUUGUCCGAAAGGAUCGGAACGCAACACUGGGAAAUGCCAUGACAUUCAAGAAACCCAUAGAAUCCAAAGUACCAAUCGCGGUACUAGGAACGGUCAAUGCCUUCAAACUCUCUAGCCUGGUAUACAAUAUGACUGCUCUCGGGCAGCAUGUUGGGAACCAGAGUGCCAGACUUCAGGAUUUGUACAUGCAACUUGCAAACACUCACAGUGAUAACUUACAACUCGCUUGCGGCUUUUAUCAACCGAUGGCAUUUGGAGAAGAACUCAUUAACAUGGAAGUAAAAUUUGCUGGAAAAAUGACAUUCGGACUCGUGGGAGAAAACCUUCCCACCUUGGCUUUGGGAAAUUGUCAUCUUCAGUGCAGCUGCAACAUGGAAACUGCAAUUUACAAAUUAGGUGAAGAUGGAAGCUUGCAGCUUGACAUUGUAGUCAGAGACAGAGCAGUGUUUUUCUUCCAAACUGAUGGUUAUAGUGGAACACAGCUUGGUUACCAAUGCACAAAUCAAGGUGGAACAAGCAUCUUUAGCUUUGUGGGUAAAAACACAACAAUUCUUUUAUCUCCCUCUCUUGGUUUUCCAUCUGAAGUCAAAUCGUUUACUGUGGAACAAGAUGGAAUCAACAAGACCUAUUUUGUAACCAUAGGAACAGAUCUAACUUAUAUGAGUUACGGCAUUGAAAGUUCCGUAAUUAAUGUUUUGAGAAUAGACGAGAAUCAACUCACUAGGGUAUGGUCAAAGCAUACUAGGGCCAAGAUCUCUUCACUGGAUAUCGCAAAAAUUUUUGGAGUGUGGUGCAUGUUGGUAGCCAAUAUUGCGCUGGCUGAUGAUAAAACCGACCCAUACACAGCACCUACGCGUUUGUACAAAUGGAACAAAGACGAGUUUGUACUUGUGAAAGAAUACUAUGGUGAAUAUGUGACUUCUGCCAUGUUCCUCCGGCCUCGAGCUCCCAGAAACGUGAACUUUUUCUCGAUGGCCCAACUGAAGGCUGCCAAUACCCCUCUUGGUGCUUUCAAUCUGAGAUACACAACCGAAGUAUUGGUGUACAAACUGCAAGACCUUGAGACUGGCCAUGGCUUUACACCUUACGCGAGGCUGAAGUCGUACGGUGUGGUCGCCCAACAGCAUAUGUUCGCGGGAGACGAUCUCUACCUAAUGGCACUGUCUGAGUACUCGAAGACCCUCGAUGUUUAUGAAUACGUACCUUCAGAGGCAAGCGAGUUUUGACAUUUUACCCGCCGUGAUAUUUAUGAUCUAGUACUAUGAGAGAAAUCCUCCAUAUAGAAGGGUUUCCGACUGUUCCAGCAACUCCGUGUCUGCGAGAAACCCCUUGAUCUGAAGAGCAUCAAAGCCGGUGACGAAGAGAUGAUGCUGGUAUCGUGUAGAGAGCCGUACAAGUUGAUUAGUUUUCGGUUCAAUGUCAAGG
rnacentral:misc_RNA from 1 species